GGGGAAUAUUGGGCAAUGGGCGCAAGCCUGACCCAGCAACGCCGCGUGAAGGAAGAAGGCUUUCGGGUUGUAAACUUCUUUUGUCAGGGACGAAGCAAGUGACGGUACCUGACGAAUAAGCCACGGCUAACUACGUGCCAGCAGCCGCGGUAAUACGUAGGUGGCAAGCGUUAUCCGGAUUUACUGGGUGUAAAGGGCGUGUAGGCGGGAAAGCAAGUCAGAUGUGAAAACUGUGGGCUCAACCCACAGCCUGCAUUUGAAACUGUUUUUCUUGAGUACUGGAGAGGCAGAUGGAAUUCCUAGUGUAGCGGUGAAAUGCGUAGAUAUUAGGAGGAACACCAGUGGCGAAGGCGAUCUGCUGGACAGCAACUGACGCUGAGGCGCGAAAGCGUGGGGAGCAAACAGGAUUAGAUACCCUGGUAGUCCGCGCUGUAAACGAUGGAUACUAGGUGUGGGGGGUC
rnacentral:rRNA from 1 species